rnacentral:rRNA from 1 species
CCCCUAGAUGUUCUGGGCCGCACGCGCGCUACACUGAACAGUUCAACAAGUCUUAACCUUGGCCGAUAGGUCUGGGUAAUCUUUGAACGCUGUUCGUGAUUGGGAUAGACCUUUGCAAUUAUGGGUCUUCAACGAGGAAUUCCUAGUAAACGCAAGUCAUCAGCUUGCAUUGAUUACGUCCCUGCCCUUUGUACACACCGCCCGUCGCUUGUACCGAUUGGAUGGUCCGGUGAAAUCUUCGGAUAGCUGGUAGUUGGCUUGCCAUCUGCUGCUAAAAGUUGCUUAAACCUUAUCAUCUAGAGGAACAAGAAGUCGUAACA